rnacentral:rRNA from 1 species
UACGUAGGUGGCAAGCGUUGUCCGGAUUUACUGGGCGUAAAGAGCGCGCAGGCGGUUGAGUAAGUCGAAUGUGAAAGCCCCCGGCUCAACUGGGGAGGGUCAUUCGAUACUGAUCGACUUGAAGGCAGGAGAGGGAAGUGGAAUUCCGGGUGUAGUGGUGAAAUGCGUAGAUAUUCGGAAGAACACCAGUGGCGAAGGCGGCUCACUGGCUCGGAACUGACGCUGAGGUGCGAAAGCGUGGGGAGCAAACAGG